rnacentral:rRNA from 1 species
AUUGAACGCUGGCGGCAUGCCUUACACAUGCAAGUCGAACGGUAACGGGCCUUCGGGUGCCGACGAGUGGCGAACGGGUGAGUAAUGCAUCGGAACGUACCUUUCAGUGGGGGAUAACGUAGCGAAAGUUACGCUAAUACCGCAUAUUCUGUGAGCAGGAAAGCAGGGGAUCGCAAGACCUUGCGCUGAUUGAGCGGCCGAUGUCAGAUUAGCUAGUUGGUGAGGUAAAGGCUCACCAAGGCGACGAUCUGUAGCGGGUCUGAGAGGAUGAUCCGCCACACUGGAACUGAGACACGGUCCAGACUCCUACGGGAGGCAGCAGUGGGGAAUUUUGCGCAAUGGGCGAAAGCCUGACGCAGCAACGCCGCGUGUGUGACGAAGGCCCUAGGGUUGUAAAGCACUGUGGGAGGGGAAGAAAAAACCGGAGUGUAUCCGGUCGUUGACGGUACCCUGUUAGAAAGCACCGGCUAACUCCGUG